GACGAACGCUGGCGGCGUGCUUAACACAUGCAAGUCGAACGGAAAGGCCCUGCUUUUGUGGGGUGCUCGAGUGGCGAACGGGUGAGUAACACGUGAGUAACGUGCCCUUGACUUUGGGAUAACUUCAGGAAACUGGGGCUAAUACCGGAUAGGAGCUCCUGCUGCAUGGUGGGGGUGGGAAAGUUUCGGCGGUUGGGGAUGGACUCGCGGCUUAUCAGCUUGUUGGUGGGGUAGUGGCUUACCAAGGCUUUGACGGGUAGCCGGCCUGAGAGGGUGACCGGCCACAUUGGGACUGAGAUACGGCCCAGACUCCUACGGGAGGCAGCAGUGGGGAAUAUUGCACAAUGGGCGGAAGCCUGAUGCAGCAACGCCGCGUGCGGGAUGACGGCCUUCGGGUUGUAAACCGCUUUCGCCUGUGACGAAGCGUGAGUGACGGUAAUGGGUAAAGAAGCACCGGCUAACUACGUG
rnacentral:rRNA from 1 species